rnacentral:rRNA from 1 species
AGCGAACGCUGGCGGCAGGCCUAACACAUGCAAGUCGAACGAACUCUUCGGAGUUAGUGGCGGACGGGUGAGUAACACGUGGGAACGUGCCUUUUGGUUCGGAAUAACUCAGGGAAACUUGUGCUAAUACCGAAUGUGCCCUUCGGGGGAAAGAUUUAUCGCCAUUAGAGCGGCCCGCGUCUGAUUAGCUAGUUGGUGAGGUAACGGCUCACCAAGGCGACGAUCAGUAGCUGGUCUGAGAGGAUGACCAGCCACACUGGGACUGAGACACGGCUCAGACUCCUACGGGAGGCAGCAGUGGGGAAUCUUGCGCAAUGGGCGAAAGCCUGACGCAGCCAUGCCGCGUGAAUGAUGAAGGUCUUAGGAUUGUAAAAUUCUUUCACCGGGGACGAUAAUGACGGUACCCGGAGAAGAAGCCCCGGCUAACUUCGUG